rnacentral:misc_RNA from 1 species
UCCGAUUUGUCACCGGCAGUCUCCCAUGAGUCCCCGACAUUACUCGCUGGCAACAUGGGACAGGGGUUGCGCUCGUUGAAGGACUUAACCUAACAUCUCACGACACGAGCUGACGACGGCCAUGCAUCACCUGUCACUUGGUUCCCGAGGGCACAGUUUCCUUUCGGAAGCUUUCCAAGGAUGUCAAGCCUGGGUAAGGUUCUUCGCUUAUCAUCGAAUUAAACAACACGCUCCACCGCUUGUGCGGAUUCCCGUCAAUUCCUUUAUGUUUUAGUCUUGCGACCGUACUCCACAGGCGGGAUGCUUAACGCGUUAGCUUCGCCACUACCGGGGUCGGUACCGGUAACGGCUAGCAUCCAUAGUUUACGGCGUGGACUAC